GCUGGGAUUACAGGCAUGAGCCACCGCACCCGGCCAGCCUUUGCUUUUUUAAAGUUGGUUUUCCUUUAUUUCCACAAGACCCAGGAACGAAAGCGCAGGGAGCAGAGGCUGGACCGUCCUCUGUCAGUUCCCUCGUUCCCCUGGAGUGGAGCUCUGAGCCCUGGGACCACAGAGUUGGCUGUUACACUGGAAACACUGAUCAGACCUUUGGACUCAGCUGAGGUAUUCACUGAGUGCAUAGUGUGUGCGCCAGGCCCUGUUCUGGGAGAUGACAGGCAAGGCCACUGACUUCGUGGAGCUCGCCCCCUAACGGUGAAGACAAACAGUGACUGACUAAGGAAAAAAAAAAAAGGACCCUGACGCUUGGCAUGGUCCAUGGCCCCCUCCACACAGCCAGUUGGCCAGGGAGCCGAGGCAGCCUGUAA
rnacentral:lncRNA from 1 species